rnacentral:rRNA from 1 species
CUUAGAUCACCAAAAAAGCACCUUAUCUCGUCUGAUCUCGGAAGCUAAGCAGGGUCGGGCCUGGUUAGUACUUCGAUGGGAGAUCACACACACACACACACACACAAGU